AAUCGUAUGUACAAUGGUUGAGGUGGUGUUACCUCAGUGAUCAGGUGAAGUAGAUGGAGACAUAGUCAUCCAUACUCUCUUGGGUAUAGGCAGGGGCUGAAGUUGAGGCGGGAGGGUUAUGCUCGUUCUGUCUGGUCGAGCAUGUGGAAGCUCGUCUUUGCCUACUCCUUGGCUCUCUCAGCUCGAAGAUCACUUCCCGAGGCUCAAAAGAUGAAGCUCGGGGUGGAUCGAUCCUUUCAGCUCUCCUUGCAGCUGAGCUCCUUGAACCAAUCCUUCUUACUUCGGGGGUGGGAGAUGGUGGCCUUGGCUGAUCUGGAAGUCCUUGAGUUGAGCAGCCAUACUUCUUCAUUGUUCUCAUCUUCUUCUUGAAACCCUUCAUUGUUUUGCUGUGAAGGUUCCCAAGCUCUUCAAGCACACUGAGCUUCUUGUGAACUUCAGCUAUCUCAUCUCCUCCUUGGUCAGCACCUUCUUCAUAAUGACCUUGCUCUUGUUCGCUGGUCCCUGUUGAUACCGAAUCCCGCAAACUGGAUCUCUUAAGUAUUUCGAAGGCCCAUCAGUUUUCAAGCCCAAGAAGGACCAUGUUGCACAAAGGAGGUGGUCAAAUCUUGACAUUAAUUUGUAGUUUAAUUCAUGGAUUAAUGACUAUGGUCAAAGGAAUAAACUUGUCAUUCAAGUUUAUGAAUUGAUUGUGGAAGUUAUUUUGUGAAUUAAUUCUAUAAUUAAUAGCCAAAUAAUGGCACAUUGGAAGAAGGAAAGAGACUAUAAAAGAGAGGUGAAGACUCCAAGAAAAGGGAGCUAGAGAAUCUACAUUUUCACCACAAAUCUUAAUAUUAAACAUUGUUAUUUUCUGAUAAA
rnacentral:sRNA from 1 species